rfam:Pan troglodytes isolate Yerkes chimp pedigree #C0471 (Clint) chromosome 1, whole genome shotgun sequence.
CCCCGGAGAGCUCAGUGGGUAGAGCAUCAGACUUUUAAUCUGAGGGUCCAGGGUUCAAGUCCUUGUUCGGGCG